AUAAAUUUGAUGAAGAAGAAAGUAAAUAUAAACUAGGUUUCAGCGAGCUAGAGUUGGUGUGAGUCUAGUAACACUAUUUAUAUUGAAGAGAGCUUUGGAGAAGAAUACUUGAAAAUAAGUAUGGUAUUAGGAAAAUCUCGCCUUAAGAGAAUAGAGUGGAUAAGUUAAACUUAUUAAUAAGAGUGGUAACGCGGAAUACUUCGUCUCUUGG
rnacentral:ncRNA from 1 species